rnacentral:rRNA from 1 species
UACGGAGGAUGCAAGCGUUAUCCGGAAUGAUUGGGCGUAAAGCGUCCACAGGUGGCUAUGUAAGUCUGCUGUUAAAGAGCAAAGCUUAACUUUGUAAAAGCAGUGGAAACUACAUAGCUAGAGUGCGUUCGGGGCAGAGGGAAUUCCUGGUGUAGCGGUGAAAUGCGUAGAGAUCAGGAAGAACACCGGUGGCGAAGGCGCUCUGCUAGGCCGCAACUGACACUGAGGGACGAAAGCUAGGGGAGCGAAUGGG